CCUACGGGGUGCAGCAGUGGGGAAUUUUGGACAAUGGGGGAAACCCUGAUCCAGCCAUCCCGCGUGUGCGAUGAAGGCCUUCGGGUUGUAAAGCACUUUUGGCAGGAAAGAAACGUCAUGGGUUAAUACCCCGUGAAACUGACGGUACCUGCAGAAUAAGCACCGGCUAACUACGUGCCAGCAGCCGCGGUAAUACGUAGGGUGCAAGCGUUAAUCGGAAUUACUGGGCGUAAAGCGUGCGCAGGCGGUUCGGAAAGAAAGAUGUGAAAUCCCAGAGCUUAACUUUGGAACUGCAUUUUUAACUACCGGGCUAGAGUGUGUCAGAGGGAGGUGGAAUUCCGCGUGUAGCAGUGAAAUGCGUAGAUAUGCGGAGGAACACCGAUGGCGAAGGCAGCCUCCUGGGAUAACACUGACGCUCAUGCACGAAAGCGUGGGGAGCAAACAGGAUUAGAUACCCUGGUAGUC
rnacentral:rRNA from 1 species